AGUACCGUGAGGGAAAGGCGAAAAGAACCCCGGGAGGGGAGUGAAAUAGAUCCUGAAACCGCAUGCUUACAAAAAGUAGGAGCCCGCAAGGGUGACUGCGUACCUUUUGUAUAAUGGGUCAGCGACUUACAUUCAGUGGCAAGGUUAACCGAAUAGGGAAGCCGUAGAGAAAUCGAGUCCGAAUAGGGCGAUCAGUCGCUGGGUGUAGACCCGAAACCAAGUGAUCUAUCCAUGGGCAGGAUGAAGGUGCCGUAACAGGUACUGGAGGUCCGAACCGACUAAUGUUGCAAAAUUAGCGGAUGACCUGUGGAUAGGGGUGAAAGGCUAAACAAACUUGGAAAUAGCUGGUUCUCUCCGAAAACUAUUUAGGUAGUGCCUCAAGUAUUACCUGCGGGGGUAGAGCACUGUUUUGGCUAGGGGGUCAUGGCGACUUACCAAACCAAGGCAAACUCCGAAUACCGACGAGUACAGCUUGGGAGACAGAGCACCGGGUGCUAACGUCCGGACUCAAGAGGGAAACAACCCAGACCGCCAGCUAAGGUCCCUAAAAUUGGCUAAGUGGGAAACGAAGUGGGAAGGCUAAAACAGUCAGGAUGUUGGCUUAGAAGCAGCCAUCAUUUAAAGAAAGCGUAAUAGCUCACUGAUCGAGUCGUCCUGCGCGGAAGAUGUAACGGGGCUAAGCCAGUUACCGAAGCUGCGGAUUUGCAAUUUAUUGCAAGUGGUAGGAGAGCGUUCUGUAGGCCUGUGAAGGUGUCUUGUAAAGGAUGCUGGAGGUAUCAGAAGUGCGAAUGCUGACAUGAGUAGCGUUAAAGGGGGUGAAAAGCCCCCUCGCCGUAAGCGCAAGGUUUUCUACGCAACGUUCAUCGGCGUAGAGUGAGUCGGCCCCUAAGGCGAGGCAGAGAUGCGUAGCUGAUGGGAAACAGGUCAAUAUUCCUGUACCGAUUACAAGUGCGAUGUGGGGACGGAGAAGGUUAGCUCAGCCAACUGUUGGAUAUGUUGGUUCAAGCCUGUAGUCGUGCCCGGUAGGCAAAUCCGCCGGGCUUAGAUGAGGGGUGAUAAGGAGUCUGCUUGCAGACGAACUGAGUGAUACCCUGCUUCCAGGAAAAGCCACUAAGCUUCAGCUUGUAACGACCGUACCGCAAACCGACACUGGUGCGCGAGAUGAGUAUUCUAAGGCGCUUGAGAGAACUCAGGAGAAGGAACUCGGCAAAUUGAUACCGUAACUUCGGGAGAAGGUAUGCCCCAAGUAGGUGAACUCGAACAGAGGGAGCCCAACGGGGUUGCAAAAAAUCGGUGGCUGCGACUGUUUAAUAAAAACACAGCACUCUGCAAACACGAAAGUGGACGUAUAGGGUGUGACGCCUGCCCGGUGCUGGAAGAUUAAAUGAUGGGGUGCAAGCUCUUGAUUGAAGUCCCAGUAAACGGCGGCCGUAACUAUAACGGUCCUAAGGUAGCGAAAUUCCUUGUCGGGUAAGUUCCGACCUGCACGAAUGGCGUAACGAUGGCCACACUGUCUCCUCCUGAGACUCAGCGAAGUUGAAAUGUUUGUGAUGAUGCAAUCUCCCCGCGGAAAGACGGAAAGACCCCAUGAACCUUUACUGUAGCUUUGUAUUGGACUUUGAACAGAUCUGUGUAGGAUAGGUGGGAGGCUUUGAAGCAGGGUCGCUAGAUCUUGUGGAGCCAACGUUGAAAUACCACCCUGGUGUGUUUGAGGUUCUAACCUAGGUCCAUUAUCUGGAUCGGGGACAGUGCAUGGUAGGCAGUUUGACUGGGGCGGUCUCCUCCCAAAGCGUAACGGAGGAGUUCGAAGGUACGCUAGUUACGGUCGGACAUCGUGAUAAUAGUGCAAUGGCAUAAGCGUGCUUAACUGCGAGACUGACAAGUCGAGCAGAUGCGAAAGCAGGACAUAGUGAUCCGGUGGUUCUGUAUGGAAGGGCCAUCGCUCAACGGAUAAAAGGUACUCUGGGGAUAACAGGCUGAU
rnacentral:rRNA from 1 species